rnacentral:rRNA from 1 species
GAAGCCGGAAUUGCUAGUAAUGGCAGGUCAGCAUACUGCCGUGAAUACGUUCCCGGGCCUUGUACACACCGCCCGUCACACCAUGAGAGUUGGGAAUACCCGAAGCCUGUGAGCUAACGUAAGAGGCAGCAGUCGAAGGUAGAAUCAAUGAUUGGGGUGAAGUCGUAACAAGGUACC